UACGGAGGGGGCUAGCGUUGUUCGGAAUUACUGGGCGUAAAGGGCUCGUAGGCGGCCAACUAAGUCGGACGUGAAAUCCCUCGGCUUAACCGGGGAACUGCGUCCGAUACUGGAUGGCUUGAGUUUGGGAGAGGGAUGCGGAAUUCCAGGUGUAGCGGUGAAAUGCGUAGAUAUCUGGAGGAACACCGGUGGCGAAGGCGGCAUCCUGGACCAACACUGACGCUGAGGAGCGAAAGCCAGGGGAGCAAACGGG
rnacentral:rRNA from 1 species